rnacentral:rRNA from 1 species
UACGAAGGGGGCUAGCGUUGUUCGGAAUCACUGGGCGUAAAGGGCGCGUAGGCGGCUUUAUAAGUCGGGGGUGAAAGCCUGUGGCUCAACCACAGAAUUGCCUUCGAUACUGUAGAGCUUGAGACCGGAAGAGGUAAGUGGAACUGCGAGUGUAGAGGUGAAAUUCGUAGAUAUUCGCAAGAACACCAGUGGCGAAGGCGGCUUACUGGUCGGGUUCUGACGCUGAGGCGCGAAAGCGUGGGGAGCAAACAGG